UACGUAGGGAGCGAGCGUUGUCCGGAUUCAUUGGGCGUAAAGAGCUCGUAGGCGGUCUGUCGCGUCCGUUGUGAAAACUCGAGGCUCAACCUCGGGCUUGCAGUGGAUACGGGCAGACUAGAGUGCGGUAGGGGAGACUGGAAUUCCUGGUGUAGCGGUGGAAUGCGCAGAUAUCAGGAGGAACACCGAUGGCGAAGGCAGGUCUCUGGGCCGCAACUGACGCUGAGGAGCGAAAGCAUGGGGAGCGAACAGG
rnacentral:rRNA from 1 species